UUGAGGCGGCAUAUUCUCAAU
rnacentral:miRNA from 1 species